CCUACGGGUGGCAGCAGUGAGGAAUAUUGGUCAAUGGGCGCGAGCCUGAACAAGCCAAGUCGCGUGAGGGAAGACGGUCCUAUGGAGUGUAAACCUCUUUUGUCGGGGAGCAAAAGACGCCACGCGUGGCGUUCCGAGAGUACCCGAAGAAAAAGCAUCGGCUAACUCCGUGCCGGGAGCCGCGGUAAGACGGAGGAUGCGAGCGUUAUCCGGAUUUAGUGGGUUUAACGGGUGCGCAGGCGGAAGAUCAAGUCAGCGGUAAAAUUGAGAGGCUCAACCUCUUCGAGCCGUUGAAACUGGUUUUCUUGAGUGAGUGAGAAGUAUGCGGAAUGCGUGGGGUAGCGGUGAAAUGCAUAGAUAUCACGCAGAAAUCCGAUUGCGAAGGCAGCAUACCGGCGCUCAACUGACGCUCAUGCACGAAAGUGUGGGUAUCGAACAGGAUUAGAUACCCUAGUAGUC
rnacentral:rRNA from 1 species